GAUGAACGCUGGCGGCGUGCCUAAUACAUGCAAGUCGAGCGGACGGACGAGAAGCUUGCUUCUCUGAUGUUAGCGGCGGACGGGUGAGUAACACGUGGAUAACCUACCUAUAAGACUGGGAUAACUUCGGGAAACCGGAGCUAAUACCGGAUGAUAUUUUGAACCGCAUGGUUCAAAAGUGAAAGACGGUCUUGCUGUCACUUAUAGAUGGAUCCGCGCUGCAUUAGCUAGUUGGUAAGGUAACGGCUUACCAAGGCAACGAUGCAUAGCCGACCUGAGAGGCUGAUCGGCCGCACUGGAACUGAGACACGGUCCAGACUCCUACGGGAGGCAGCAGUAGGGAAUCGUCCGCAAUGGGCGAAAGCCUGACGGAGCAACGCCGCGUGAGUGAUGAAGGUCUUCGGAUCGUGAAACUCUGUUAUUAGGGAAGAACAUAUGUGUAAGUAACUGUGCACAUCUUGACGGUACCUAAUCAGAAAGCCACGGCUAACUACGUG
rnacentral:rRNA from 1 species